UUUAAAGUAAUAUGAAAUAAUUCUUUAGUUGUUCUGAUUUCUUAUAAUCAAAUCAUGUCAAGUGUACUUUAAAGUAAUUUUUAAUUAUCUUAUAAUUACACUUUCGAAUAAUAGUUCUAAUAGCAAUAUCAAACAGACUCUUAACAUUUUCUCGAUAUUUAAUAUGGGAUCACUUAAUUUUGGGCCCAUCUAUUAUAAUUCAGCAAGUGAAUAAAUCAGUUUUCUAAAAGAAAAGAAAAUUGAUUUAUUCUGCAAUGAUAUCAUUCCAUUGGUUAUAAUAGAGUUGCAUCAUCAAAGGACUUGAUACAGCCAGAGUUGCUAGGCCUUUCAAACUCUGUCAAUGGCAUUCUUAGGUUGUAUCAAAAGAGGAGUUAUCCCUGCAUUGUAAAAUCAGAAAACUUUGUGUUCCUAAAGUUUAGUAACUUUCUAACUUAUUG
rnacentral:misc_RNA from 1 species